rnacentral:rRNA from 1 species
UAGGGAAUCUUCCACAAUGGGCGAGAGCCUGAUGGAGCAACGCCGCGUGUGUGAUGAAGGGUUUCGGCUCGUAAAACACUGUUGUAAGAGAAGAAUGACAUUGAGAGUAACUGUUCAAUGUGUGACGGUAUCUUGCCAGAAAGGAACGGCUAAAUACGUGCCAC